rnacentral:rRNA from 1 species
GACGAAGGUGGCGACCGUUGUUCGGAAUCACUGGGCAUAAAGAGCUCGUAGGCGGUGAGGAAAGUCGGGUGUGAAAUCCCUCGGCCCAACCGAGGAACUGCGCUCGAAACUGCCUUGCUUGAGGACGGAAGGGGACCACGGAAUUCCUGGUGGAGCGGUGAAAUGCGUUGAUAUCAGGAGGAACACCGGCGGCGAAGGCGGUGGUCUGGUCCGUUUCUGACGCUGAGGAGCGAAAGCUAGGGGAGCAAACGGG